GAAACAUCUCCUGUGGUAAUAAUACUGGAGUGGAAGGAAAAUGAAGUUGUGGCUGUGGCUGUGUCUAACAGGGGUAUGGGCUGCGGGAGCAGGUAGGGAACCUAGGAAACUGAGAACUGGCUUCAGAUAGUGGGUGAAGGUACUAUCUGAGGAAUCCAGAGGAUUAGGGAAAGAGAUAUAGUCCCUUAUUUUUAGCCCAGGAGAUAUUAAUGGUUAAUUGGGCAAUAAUAUGAGCUUCUGUGGGGGAAAGGUGACCUCCAAUUCCAGUGGAGACCCUGCUCCUUCAUUCCAGAUGAGCUGUCCCAAAGAAAUGUGGGGGUGCCUGGUAUAGAGACUCACCAGUCUGAGGGUGAUGAUUGAUCCAUAGGACCACUGAAGUGACCUUGAAGUAACAGGGGGACCUUAUUUGUACCCAAGAACUUAUAGUCCCGAUAUGAGGCCCUCUUAUCUGAAACAAAUAGGCUAGUUUUGUUAGGUAUGCCCCAUCCUAGGACAACUGACCAACCCUGAGCGCUCAAUGACUUGGUCAGUCCCCUUAAGUGUUUACUGCAGUAAUAUUUGCUGAUAAAAGUCAACCUCCAAGGUGGGGUGCACUUUUAGCUGAUUUUUUCCCUUGGAUUCCAGCCUUUCAUCCCCAGGAUUCCAUGAAGGUGGCUCCACAAGGGUCUCUGUUUCUUGAAGAUAAUCCCAACUUCUUUGAUUACCCAGAUUCAGCCAGGGACAAAAUCCAGGCUGUCUCCAACUUCAUUGGAGAGAAACCUGUUUACUUCACUUCAGAUUCAGGAGUUGCCAAAGAGGGUCCUAAGGAGAUGGACAAUCCAUCUCUGCUCACAGCUCCAUGACAACCUAAACUCAUCCCCUCUACAAAUUACUAAAUAAAAACUACUCAUUCCCUACU
rnacentral:lncRNA from 1 species